GACGAACGCUGGCGGCGCGCUUAACACAUGCAAGUCGAGCGAAGCGGCGGACGGGUGAGUAACACGUGAGUAACCUGCCUUUGACACAGGGAUAGCCUCGGGAAACCGGGAUUAAUACCAGAUAGUCAAAGAUGGACUCGCGUCCCAUUAGCUAGUUGGUGAGUAACAGCCUACCAAGGCAACGAUGGGUAGCCGGCCUGAGAGGGUGAACGGCGACAUUGGAACUGAGAAGCGGUGCAGAAUAUACGGGAGGCAGCAGUGGGGAAUAUUGCACAAUGGGGGAAACCCUGAUGCAGCGAGGCCGGGAGAGCGAAGAAGGUGGUGGAAUAGGAAAGCUCUGUCCUAUGGGAAGCGGUACCAGAGGAGGAAGCCCCGGCUAACUACGUGCCAGCAGCCGCGGUAAUAC
rnacentral:rRNA from 1 species